CCAAAAGUGAAGAUAAUUUUACGACGUCAUGUCGAAUGCGGGUUGGAAGUGACAACUUCUAAAGCCGUUUUCUCUGUAAAUAAGUUGGAGUUAUCUCUCUUUUUUGCACAAUAUGAAAGUUUUGAGGAAGGUCAUUGACCUGAUACGUCACCGGAAGUUUGGAAUCGUCUGCUUUGUUUACAUUUCGUAUAGUUUUGAGAAUGGCCCCAAAACGCAAGGAACUGUCAUUGUCCGAGAAAAAUGCCAUUGCAGCAUUACAUAAGGCUGGUAUGAAAGGACCUGACAUCGCACGACAAACAAGACAUCCACUUCCAACAAUUUAUGGGGUUUUAAACCGUUUCAAAGGUCGGGGGAGUUUGGAAAACAAGGAGAGAACGGGAAGGCCGAAUCUGCUAACACCGCGGGAUACUCGCAAACUUUGCACCACUGUCAAGUCGGACAGAAAACGUCCACUACAUGAGAUAACUGCUGUUUUCAAUGAAUCUAGGGAAGAACCAGUAUCUAAGCGUACUGUUCAGAGAAAAUUGUAUGAAGAAGGGUACAAAAAACGUGUUGUAAAAAAAUCCAUCAGAAUUCGUGCUGCAAAUGUCAAAAAAAGGCUGGCAUGGUGUAAAUUGGCAAGACACAAAACUGUGGAAGAUUAUUGGAGAAGGGUCAUAUAUAGUGAUGAAUGUAAGGUGGAAAUUGGAAUGGAUAAUCGUGUUUUAGUCUGGAGACGGCCUGGUGAGGAGUGGACUCCUCCUUGCUUAAAUCCUGGCCGUGGGUCACGACUGAGUUUGAUGAUCUGGGGUUGCAUUACCUAUGAAGGUGUUGGUACUAUUACUUUUGUAACUGGUAAUAUAAAUGCUUUAAAGUAUAUUGAGAUAGUUGACAAUUUUGUUUGGCCUGUUAUUGCUCGUCAUUUCCCCGCUGACAAUUACAUAUUCCAAGAUGACAAUGCCCCGGUUCAUAGGGCCAAAAUUGUGAAGGAUUACAUGGAAAAAAAUCAACUUCAUGGUAUGGAAUGGCCAGCACAAAGUCCAGACCUUAAUAUUAUUGAAAAUAUGUGGCGUAAAAUUAAAAUUGAACUGCAAAAACAGGCACAUAACAUCAGUACAAAGGCUCAAAUGGAGACAGCAAUUCGGGACAUAUGGACAAAUAUAUCCUUAGAAUUCAUAAGAAAACUUUAUGAUUCAAUUCCAAGACGUUUGAGGCUAGUAAUAAGGGCAAAAGAAACAUCACAAAGUAUUAGGUGAGUUCAGAUCAUUUUAUUAAUAUAAUUACAAAGGUUGAACUGUGACAGAUACUUGAAAACUGUAUGUGGCGGCCAUCUUGGAAUUAUCUUCACUUUUGGCACAAGUCUGUAUAUACGGUCCUCAAUAGUAGUUUAUCUAUGCCUUAUUUUGUCUCUGGCUGAAGUUAUAAACAUGUUCAUACCUUAAAUUAAAAAAAAUAGAAACAAACAACAGUUGUAAUCUAUACACUUAAGGGUGCCUUCUGAUGUUUCAGUCUCGUUGAAAUCUCGUUCGGGAAUUAUGUCCAAAACUUGUGAUACAAGUGGAAAAUAUCAAUGAAUUUUUAAAAUAUUAUAAAUCAAACUAAACUCUGUUUGUUUUUUCAAUCAUUUAUGACAAAGAAGUUGAAAUAAUAUGCUUUUUAUUCUAAAAGAAAAUGAAAAUAUCCCAAAAUGAUUUAAAAGAGAGGCGAGAGAUACCAAUUGAGAUAUUCAAACUGUCAAAACCAUUGCAAAAAGACAACUAACAGUAUACAAAACACAGCAUAGAAAACUAAAGACUGAGCAGUACGAACCCUACCAAAGAUCGGGGGUAAUCACAAGUGUUCUUGAAGGAGAAGUGGAUCUUGCUCCACACGUUUCAUUCGUAAAAUUCUAUCUUUAUUGAUAUGAGAUUAGUCUAUGGACAUUCAUAUUUAUUGACAGGGGUGCAACAUCACAAUAACCAUGAAUUUAGAAUACGAACUAAAGAUCGCUCGAUUGAUAAAGGCCUUGGUGUCAUUCAUAAGUGUUUCUCGUUUCUCGUUUAUUAUAUAGAUUAGACCGUUGGUUUUCCUCUUUGUAUUGUUUUACAUUAUAAAGUCUUAAUUUAGUCAUUUUGGGGCCCUUUAUAGUUUGCUGUUCGGUGUGAGCUAAUGCUCCGUGUUAAAGGCUGUACUGUGACCUAUAUACAUUGUUGGGUUGAUGUUUAGACGAGUUGUAUAUAUAUAUAUAUAUGUUAGAUCUGUAAAUUUGCUUUCGCAAAUUUUUGGUUCUUCCCUCGCCGGGAUUCGAACCCAUGCUACUGUGAUAUCGUGACACCAAAUCGCUGCACUGCAGCUGUCCGCUAGACACACGACCACCUGGGCUUCAAAAAAAGAGCUUUCGCUGGCCGUGUGUUACCUUUUCCUCGUCAGUUUUAAUCUAGCGGCGUACUACAGUACAUGAUAUAUAAGGCAUGAAGAUGUUAUUGUUACAGAUCAGCUAAAUUAUCUAUAGUAAAGGAUCCUACAAAUUAAUGUUAUAUACAGUCACAGAAAAUAAUUAUAUUUAUAAGUACGUCUGAGUCAGUGACAACUCUACAACAGAUGUAUCCAUCGGAUCGCCAUCAAUGAUGGUGAUACAUGGCUGUGUACAUAAUGUAUAUACAACUCGUCUAAACAUCAACCCAACAAUGUUAGAUAUAUAUAUAUAUAUAUAUAAUUCUAACUUUUAUGUUAAACAGAAUAAGCAUUAAACAUUGUGAUUAUACAUUGUGACCUGGAUGAAGAGUUGUCUCAUCGGCACUCAUAUCACACCUUCUUAUUUAUUUUACAACACAUCAGCACUUAGGUUGGUCUGGAUCGGGGUUAAUUCUGUAUUCUGUAAUAUUUUGAGGAAUUUUUCUUCAUCUUCAAAAAUAAUGCUUAUUCUGUUAAAUUCUCAUGACAAUCAAUUUAUUUCUAUAUUUAUUUGUUAUAACAUGACAAUUUUUUUAUUCUUUACAUGCGUGGUUCAUUACUACGAUCACUAUUUUAUUACCAUAAAUACUUAAUUCUUUCAUUUUCACAGUUAUUCUGUAUUCUUUUGCACCCUAGUAUUCUUUAUUCUUAUAGUCUCUUUUUUAAUGUUUAUCUGUCACUAAUUCAUUCAUCUACUAUUCUCUAUUCUGUAAAGCGGAGCUUUACCUUUACAAAUCGAACAGGGUAGAUUUCGUAAUGUGCCACUUGACCAACACUUUUGUAAAAUGUGCAAGUCUCAAUCCAUAGAGGACAAAUCCCAUCUUUUGCUGUUUUGUAAACGCUUUGAACAAUCAAGAACAUCACUAUUCAAUGACAUUCGAGACAAGUACAACAUAGAUUUAAUUGGGUACAGGACGUUUGCGCUUUUUUACCUGUAAAACGAUAGGACAUUUGCGCUGUUAAUUUUGAUUCACCUGUAUUAAAUUGACCGGACAUUUGCGCUUUUUACCUAUAGUCAACUACCUGUAAUCUUAAUGAGAAGUAAUCAUUACGUAAAUAAAUUUAACUUAUAUUUGUCAUUAGUUAGUUCACAUUUACACAGUGAACAUGGAUUUUAAAGUUAUAGUGACAAGUAAAGAAAAAAAAUGUAUAUGUCUUGAUGGAUUUUUGAAGGUUGUCCUGUACAGACCUCAAAAUUCGAAAAUUUUCUUCAAGUCAACGACAGAGAAAAUGGAAUAAUCAUUUUUAUUAGUAACCAACAACUUAAGGACACUCUUAAGGAGUCAACAGAGGACCUUAAUACUGCAUUACAGUCAUCAAGAAAUGAAACCCAUGUUUUGAUGGACAAACUGGACAAAAAGGAUGAGGAGAUUGAAAAAUUCAGUACCAGCAUUGAAUGGGAAAUGUCAGCCCAAUUUAGUGCUAAUUUAAGAGAUGAUUGUGUUGAUCAUGAUUUGCAUACUAUGCCUUCUCGAUACAUGUGGUCAGAGAACUCAGCUACAGUGUUUCAGGAGGCUCUAACUUCUCCAUCUGUAAUUGCAAAAAUAUCAGAUUUCAUGAUUAAGGGGCAUUUUACUUCCAAAAUAGACAUAAAUGAAGCCUCAGUUAAACUAACUAACAUUUUCAUUGAGGCUGCUGAACAAUCUUUGAAAAAAAAACCUAAAUAUAAGAAAAAGAAAAAGAAACACAAAAAUUUCUUUGACUCUGAUUUGCACUCAAUGAGAAAGAAUCUUAUAAAUUAUGGAAAAAUUUACUCUUCUAACCCGAAAGAUCCAAUGAUUAAAAAUCAUUAUUACAAAUUAUAUAUAUAUAUAGGGAAUAUAACAAAUGCAGAAAAACCAAAAAGAAAGUUUUUAAGGCAGAUAUUUUAGAACAACUAGAAACUCUUCAUGAGGACAAUCCCAAACUAUACUGGGGGUUGAUUAAUAAGUUACAGGACAAAAAUCAUGAUUCCUCAGUUAACAAUAUAUCACCAUCUGACUGGCUUCAUCACUUUCAAGAUUUAAAUAAGGUUAAUGAUAAUUUUUUAGAUAGGGUUAAACAUCUUGAGGAGAGUUUAGAAUCUGCGGAGAUAUCCCCG
rnacentral:sRNA from 1 species